rnacentral:rRNA from 1 species
AACGAACGCUGGCGGCAGGCUUAACACAUGCAAGUCGAGCGCCCCGCAAGGGGAGCGGCAGACGGGUGAGUAACGCGUGGGAAUCUACCCAUCUCUACGGAAUAACGCAUGGAAACGCGUGCUAAUACCGUAUACGUCCUUCGGGAGAAAGAUUUAUCGGAGAUGGAUGAGCCCGCGUUGGAUUAGCUAGUUGGUGGGGUAAAGGCCUACCAAGGCGACGAUCCAUAGCUGGUCUGAGAGGAUGAUCAGCCACACUGGGACUGAGACACGGCCCAGACUCCUACGGGAGGCAGCAGUGGGGUAUAUUGGACAAUGGGCGCAAGCCUGAUCCAGCCAUGCCGCGUGAGUGAUGAAGGCCCUAGGGUUGUAAAGCUCUUCCACCGGUGAAGAUAAUGACGGUAACCGGAGAAGAAGCCCCGGCUAACUUCGUGCCAGCCGCCGCAGUAAGAC